rnacentral:tRNA from 1 species
GGAGAGAUGGCUCAGUGGUUAAGAGCACUGGCUGCUCUUCCAGAGAACCUGGGUUGGAUUCCCAGCACCCACCA